UACAGAGGGGGCAAGCGUUGUUCGGAAUUACUGGGCGUAAAGGGCUCGUAGGUGGCCAACUAAGUCAGACGUGAAAUCCCUCGGCUUAACCGGGGAACUGCAUCUGAUACUGGAUGGCUUGAGAUUGGGAGAGGGAUGCGGAAUUCCAGGUGUAGCGGUGAAAUGCGUAGAUAUCUGGAGGAACACCGGUGGCGAAGGCGGCAUCCUGGACCAACACUGACGCUGAGGAGCGAAAGCCAGGGGAGCAAACGGG
rnacentral:rRNA from 1 species